rnacentral:rRNA from 1 species
UCCACGCCGUAAACGAUGGAUACUAGCUGUUCGACCGCAAGGUUGAGUGGCUAAGCGAAAGUGAUAAGUAUCCCACCUGGGGAGUACGUUCGCAAGAAUGAAACUCAAAGGAAUUGACGGGGGCCCGCACAAGCGGUGGAGCAUGUGGUUUAAUUCGAUGAUACGCGAGGAACCUUACCAGGGCUUAAAUGUAGAUUGCAUAGAGUAGAGAUAUUCUUUUCUUCGGACUAUUUACAAGGUGCUGCAUGGUUGUCGUCAGCUCGUGCCGUGAGGUGUCAGGUUAAGUCCUAUAACGAGCGCAACCCCUGUUGUUAGUUGCCAGCGAGUCAUGUCGGGAACUCUAACAAGACUGCCAGUGCAAACUGUGAGG